GUGUUUGUAGAAAGGAGAGAUGGCUGAUACAAAGCAUCUCUAGUGACAGGGAUGGGAACAACACCUUCAGGGUUUACCUGUUAGCACACAUAUCCUUUAAAGGCUUAUGCACAUUGGUGGAUCUUACCCAAUUUUGU
rnacentral:ncRNA from 1 species